AUCCAUAUUGUGUGUUAGCUAGUUAUACUGCUAAUUCACUGCCCAUCAGACUCUGUUGGAAUGGUUUCACCCCUUUCUUUUCCUGCAUUGUCAGACUGCAAGACUCAACAUUCUUCCAAUGCUGCCUUUUGAUCACCAUUAUUUUUAGUAUGUGAUUCACAUUUGUGUUUAUUGUCCCAAAUGUUUCGUACUUAUCCACAAGUGCAAGACAAGAAAUUAAAAAUGCCCAUAAGCAUUGUUAAAUUAUUUUAGCCUAAAGCUACUUCCUUACAUAUUUUAAGGUCAUUCUACAGCUAUCUCCCUACAUACUGAACUGUACCCUAACGGGAUAUGUAAACAGAUUGUAGCCACUCAUUUGCCAAUCACUGAGUUUUAACCAAGGGCAGCCAACUAUUCAAACCAUGUUUAACUAAGGGAAAUGUUGAGUUGUAACCCAUCAGCUGUUUCUAUAUUCCACAUCUGUUUUCUGUACAUCACUUUCUGUUCAUAAAUCUUUGACCACAUAGCAACAGCAGUGCUUCCCUGAACCAAUGCUUGUUCGGGGGCUGCCCAAUUUGCAAAUUGUCCUUUGCUCAAUUAAACUCUUAAAUUUAAUUUGCCUUAAAGUUUACUUUUGACAGCAUGUAUGGCCAGAAUAUGAAAGUCAAAGAGAAAAGAGUGUCCAGAACCCUCUCCUAGAACUAGAAGAUGCCCACUGAGAGCCACAGACAUGUGUGUGCUUGGUAAAAGUGUAUUAAAUACAUGAAUGAACUAAGGAAUGAAUAAGUUGAAACAAACAAGGAUAGCCAGGCUGAGUGGAAUUGGAAGAAACAUUUAUCUGGAGAUGUUAAAUUAGUGUACACAGAAAUCAUCUAAAUUAUAUUCAAGGAGAUAUGCCAGAAUUAGAAUUUAGAAAAUUAUUAGAAAUGCUAUGUCAAUGUAUGAAGGAAGGAACAUAAUGAAAAACUGGCUAGAAGCUGAAAUCACAGCAUGGAAGCAAGACAAAUAAUUGACCAACAAAGCAGGACACUGAGAGGAAGGCAAAGGCCCAUUUAUGCAGUGUCCCUGGGUAUCAAAUGAGGGGUUCUGGAACUUUGAAAUGUGCAUGCAAGGCUACAAAGGAGGAAUUGAAUGUAUUUCCCAUCCCUGCUCUACAUUGUUUCUGAAGAUGGACUUUCUAGGUCUCUAACUCCUAGGAAUUUAAACUUUUAAACAUUAAAAUCAUAUGUGGCCAUGAUGGGAAGAUUUGGAAAUUGCCAGCAAUUUAAUCUUACCCAUCCUAAGAUCCAUCUCCAUUAGCUCAGAUUAUGGCCAGUUUUCUAAAUAUGUGUGCUUCAUAUACACUUCUCAGAAAAUGGUUCUUUCUACCAAAAAUAUUGCUAAUGCAGAGAGUGCCCAUUCCAGUUUGCUCAGGACUGUCCUGCUGUGUGCCUGUUGCCCCAAUGUCCCAUACUAUCUGCGCUCUCCAUUUCCUUAUAUCAUUACUAAUAACUAUGUUAAAAUAAGGCAGAAUGGGUUUGAUAGACCUCCCCUUCGUAGCACCAACUCCCACCAUGAUCUCAUCUGGUAGUGUACAAACAGAUUUCUGACUUGAAUACAUGCUGAAAUCUAAGAGAUGAUUUUCCAUACCCAUAUUUUCUUUCCUGCCCCUUUCACACACAAUUUAACCAAUAGCUCACUUGGAAAGACAUUGCCCAGGGUGCUCAGUGAUUACAGCACACCGUGCUUAGACACUAGCAACCAGGAACAGCUAACUCCUUCCAGUCUUGAGUGUAAAAUAUGUACAGGGAAGGGAGGCUGGGCACUCCUGUUGCAGAACAUAUAAAGAGUAGUUAGCCACAAAGGUUUUGUCAUUUGUUAUAUGAUGCCAUUCUACAAUGUUUACGUAUUUUAUAUUUUUGGGUUUUCUUUCUGUUUUUCAAUAAACACUGCUGGUGCAGUAACUGAAAAUGUACAUUCUUAAAUUGCUGAACUGGUUAUCAGAAAUUUGACCUAUUUCAAAACCUGUUUAAAAAGUUGAUGGUGAAAGUAUAACUUGCACAAAACAUGUGUUGACAUUUAUCCACAGUAGGGGAAGGGGCAGGUAGUGAUAUCAUUGAGUACAAGAAAACUAAAAACACAAACGUAUGAGAAGCAGUGUCUUCUAACUCAAAAGCUACUAGUUACUUGAAAAAGACUGUAUCUCAAGACAACUAUUUAACAUAUACAGAAGCAGACGUGCAUUUACAUAUCACUCUGUGAAGCAUGACUUUUCACCUAGAUCAACUAAUUACUCCACUAAAUUAAUUUUGCUCAUUUUCAAUUUCAAAUAUACUUGGCAUAUGUGAAAAUUAACACCAAAAGUAGAAAAAUUGCAUUCAAACAAGACAAUGAUGCCUGUGUUAUAUCCAUGCCAUCAGCGCUGUAAUGAAAAAAUCGGUAAUUUCAGUAAUCAUCCUAUUUUUAAUUUAAGUUUUAGAAGCAAAGCAAAGUUUUGGAAGUUCACUCUAUAGAAGAAGUAAUGUUCAACAUUAUUGCAAAUGCUAUUGUAAUCUGGGUUAAGGUGUUCAAACUUGAAGAUAAAAUUACCUAUUUUGGAGUGAUAAGAAUACAAAUUUUGGUAGAGAACACUGCUGUAGAAAAAAGUACAUCCCUACUUGAAGAAAUCUAUGGAGCAAAAUAAUGUACUUGUGAUUAGUUAUGGUACACAAAUAUUAUAAUUCAUAAUCAUAUUCAAACUAUAAUAUUCCACUAAUUAGUGCAUAUAGGUAGUCAGAGUGACUGAACUGCAAAAUGUCUGUGGUGGAAUUAAUGUUGAAUAUCCUAAAAUAUUUCCGUACAUACUUUAUCUUUUUGCCAUCUAAUAUCAAUUGGAUUUUAGAAAUGUUUGAGCUUCUGAAGCACUGCUUUGUAAAUUAACCUAAGUGACCCAGAGUGAUAUUGAAUUUUUUGCUAACAAAUUUUCUGAACUUUGUUUGCAUUUUGUUAAGUAUUAAUUGGAAAUUCUUAAGCAAAUUAUUCAGCAAACCAUACACAGAAAUCUUCAGUUUUUGAAGCUUCUUGUGUAACGAAGGUUUUUUAAUGCUGCAACAGGAAGACAUUGAAAUUUACCCCCUACUGAUGUUAGAAAUGGAUCAACAAAUUAAAUAAUGAAAGCUCAAAUGGUGAACAAGAUUUUCUCUUGAAAUUAUGUAAUUGAACUAUCUCCAUGUGUAGAUGAAACUUUUGAUGCAGCUUCUAUUUUUAGUUGAAAGGAAUAAAAUUUUGCAACAUUAAAAGUAUAAUAAUUUAAUUGAUGUUUUGUCUUAUAAAAUGUUUAUAGAAAGUCUGAAUUUUAAAAAGGCAGUACUUGUGAACAUGUUUGAGUUAAAAUGUUUACACAUUUCAAAACUGAUGACAUGUAACGUAGAAUAUCCCCUAUUUAGCAGGUUUUGUACUAAGCUUACUAAUUACACUGGCACCUUACAAAUUGUAUUUUCUCGAUUAAUAGUAUUAUAGCCUCCAGAAAAAAAGUCAAGAAAGGUGUCAACAAUUUCAAAUGUAUUAACCAUAUGACCUAGGUGUAUAGUGGGCUACACUAUCUAUGUGUAAGUACACUCUAUGUUGUUUACAGAUGAUGAAAUUGCCCAAUGACACAUUUCUCAGAACAUAUCUCCAUCACUGUUAAAAGGAGUUAAUGAUGUAUGACUGUAUAGCUAAAAACUGAUUAAAGCAUGAGGAUAUACAUCAAUAAUAAUUAUUAGAAUAUACCUAAGGCCAUUUAAUGUUUCAUCUUUAUAUUUAUUCUAAGACUCCAGGAAAGUUAUUUCCCUUAAAGGCCCGGCAUGGUAGCUCACACCUGUAAUCUCAGCACUUUGGGAGGCCAACGCAGGAGGAAUGCUUCAGCCCAGGAGUUCAAGACCCGCCUGGGAAACAUAGUGAGAUCUCAUCUCUACAAAAAGAAUUUCAAAUGUUAGCGGGGCCUGGUGGCACGUGCCCAUAGUCCCAGCUAACUCAGGAGGCUGAGGUGGGAGGACUACUUGAACCCAGGAGAUCAAGGUUGCGGUGAGUCGUGAUUGCUCCACUGCACUCCAGCCUGGGUGACAAAGGGAGACCCUCUCUUUAAAAAAAAAAAAAAAAAAGUGUUCUUACUAUCCCUGGAAAUAUUUCCCUAAAUAGCAACACAUGUAUGUUCAGAGUCAUGUGUAAAUUCUGCCCAGAUAUCUUUUUAGUCAGUUUACGACACACUCCCACUUUUAGGUCAUGCAGAAUUUUUAAAAAUUUUAUUUUUAAACAAUUUUUUUAUUUAUUUCUGAUCCCCACUUCCAACCCCUCAUAUAUUCCAACCCAAUAUAUAAGCUUUCAUGUCAUUGUAUAGGUACGUUUUCUUAAGAAAUGCAUAAUGCAUAUGGAUCUCAUUUGGUUUCUUACUUUUCUUGCUCAGUACUGCUUUUGAAUGUAUUUAUAUUGUUAUAUGUGUAUCUAGAUGACAAAAUAUUCUUGCAAGGUAAUCGAUAGUUUGCAUUCAUCUUAUUUUACAAAUCCAUUCCCCUCGUAAUAUCAACAUGGGUUGCCUCCAAUUCCCUGUUGCCACCAAAAGUGCUGUAAUGAAAAUCUUCAAACACAUCCCUUCAGGGACCUGUGGGAGCUACUCCGAAGUGGGAUUGCUGGGCCCUUGACUAUCUAAAGUCCAAUUUUUCCUGUCAUUUUGCACCACACAAUUACUAUAUAAUUUUAUCCUCUUGUCAGCUGUGUGUGAGGGUUCUGUUGCUUCCUCCACAUUCUCACAGUAUUUGAAAUUAUCCACCUUUUGGGGCUUAAGCGGUCUGAUGAAGGUAAAGUGGUAUUUUAUUUUUUAUUUUGAUUUGCAUUUCUUUGAUUGCUAAUAUGGUUGAGCAUCUGCUGUGUUCAUAUUAUCAUUACAGAUUUCUCCCUCAGUAACACACUGACUCAUAUCCUAUACUUAUUUUCUCCAGUGGGUUUUCCAUCUUUUUCUUGUUAAUUUGCAGGCAUUCCUUGUAUUUUCUAGAUGUUAUUUUCAGAUAAUGCAAAUGUCGUCUCCCAGAGUGUUAUCCAUCUGUUAGCAGUAUUUAUGGUGCCUUUUGUUAAACAGAAAUCCUUUAAUAUAGUCAAGCCUAUAAAUCUUCUACUUUGUGGUUUGUGCUUUGAGGGUCUUUCCAAUAUUAUUGGAAAUUGUCUCAAAUUUUCUUCUCUUAAUUUUAUAGUUUUACCUCUUGAAUAUGGGCUUUAAUCUCUGUGUAAUUUAUCUUAGUAUAUGAUAUAAGUAUGGAUCCAGCUUCAUUUUUUUUUUAUAUUGUGUGAGACCAUUUUCCCAACCCAACCUACUCCUGACUUGUGGUAUCACAUAUGUCAUACAUGAAGUCUCCAGGUACAUGUGAAUCUAUUGUUAUAAUCUCUGUUUUUUUCCAAUUGAUGUAUUUGUUUAUCUCUGCACUAGUACUACACUUUUUAAAAUCACAAUAAUGUAUAGCAUGGCUUCAUAUCUGCUAUAGCAAGGCCCAUGUUUGCUCUUCUCUUUCAAAGUCAACCCAGCUACUUAUGAACUUUUAUUUUCUCAUGAAAGUUUAGAAUGUUUGUUGAGUUAUUCAAAAAUUCCUUUUGAAAUUUUUACUGGAAUUGUAUUGAAUUUGUAAUAUGAUUGGCUUUGUGUCCCCACCCAAAGCUCAUCUUCAGUUGUAAUCCCCAGGUGUGAUUAACCUGGCGGGAGGCCAUUGAAUCAUGGGGGCAGUUUCCUCCAUGCUUUUCUUGUGGUAGUGAGAGAGUUCUUGCAAGAUCUGAUGGUUUUAUAAUUGUUUGGUAGUUCCUCUCUUGCUGGCGGCUUUAGCUUUCCUGCCACCUUGUGAAGAAAGUGUCUGCUUUCCCUUCCGCCAUGAUUGUAAGUUUCCUGAGGCCUCCCCAGCUACGUGGAACGGAGUCAAUUAAACCUCUUUUAUUUAUAAAUUACCCCUUUUCAGGUGGUAUCUUUAUAGCAGUGUUAAAAUAGACUACUACAAUUUGAAAAUGAAUUUUGGGAGACAAUGCUUUUAUAAGGUUAGGUUGUUCCAUCACAAAUAAAGUAUAAAUAUUUAUUUAUUCAGGUAUUAUUAAACACUCCCAGAUUUUUAUCUGCAAAGACAAUUAUAAAUUCGGUUAUUGCUGUUUUGUUCUCUAUUUCAGAAUGGUAUUUUGUGAAGAUAAUGUUUGCCGGGAUGGAAGAGAUGCCACUGAUUAUACUUAAUAGAUUUUGGAUCUGGUAUCCUUUCAGAGUGUUCUUCUUUGUUCUAAUAGUGUCUGCAGAAGAUACUGUGUUAUCUAUGUAGAUGAACUUAUCACCUUUAAGGAACAAAGUUUGUCUUUUCUCUUUCAAUCUUUUCCCUUUUAUUUUUUUCAUCUCUUACUUAUGUAUCUAGGAAUUUAUACUCUGUUAAAUACCAUGGUGAUAAUAGGCAAUUCUAUCUUGUUCUUGAUCUAAUCUUAAAAGCAACAUAUCAUGUUUCUCCAUCAUGUAAGAUGUUUGUAUAGAGACUUCGUGAAGUGAAGGAAAUUACUUUCUGGUUACAGUUUUCUAAGUGUUUUUUAAUCACAAAUAAGUAUCCAGCUUUAUUAAAUGCUACGUUUUGUUUUUCACCUCUUAAGAAAUUACACUUUUUUUCUUUAGUCCAUUAAUGUAGUAUAUUGAUACUACAUUACAGUAUCCAUAUACCAUAUGAUGAGUAUAAUGUGUAUAGCAUAUGAGUAUGAUGAGUAUAUUGUAAGAUUCUCUCAAGGGUAGAACCUCACAAUACCAUAUUCACAAUAUGAAAUGGGUAUGGAUCCAAUUUCUUUUUCUAUAUUGUAUGAGAUCAUUCUCCCAACCCAACCUACUCCUGAUUUAUAGUAUCACAUGUAUGACAUGUGUAUAUUGUGUCACAUGUAUGUGUGAAUAUACAUACUCACACAUGAGUAUGUGUGAAUAUACAUACUCACACAUGAGUAUGUGUGAAUAUACAUACUCACACAUGAGUAUGUGUGACUGUAUUGUGAGGUUCCCCUAAGGAUGAAGCAUUCUAAUAUUCCUAAAAUCAACCUGAAGUAUUUUUUAAUAUGAUGCUGAAUUCAGUUAGCUCAUAUUUCAUUUUAGACUCAGAUAGUUUACAAAAUAGUGCUUCCCAAUGUACCGAAGGCAAAAAGCAAAUACAAAAUUCAUGUAAGCAUGCAUGAUUUAGAGGCUGACCAAGUGGUAAUCAUGAGAGAAAAGUACUAGAACACAACCAAUUUCCUUUCUUCCAUGUUUUCUUUCUACCAUGUGAGCAAUUCUGCCACCUACCCUGCAUCCAGGGAAACUUCCUCUUAAAUAUUUAAGCAGCAACUGUUGAAAAUAAAAUAAAAUUAGCACCUGCUAAGGAAUAAACAAAUAGAUUCUAAGCAUUGUUUCACCACUCCAAAAGUUAAAAAAGAAAAUCUCAAACUAAAAGCACAUUUGAACUAAUGCUGUGAUGCCUACAGGCAGUCCUAUCAGAAACCUGGUGGUGAGACUGUUUCCACUCUUAAUGAUCUAUUGGCUCAAGAUUGUGGAGUGGGGUGGGGGAUGCAGUACAGAAAGGAAUUAAUCAUGCUGCUAUAAAGACACACGCACACGUAUGUUUACUGCGGCACUAUUCACAAUAGCAAAGACUUGGAACCAACCCAAUGUCCAACAAUGAUACACUGGAUUAAGAAAAUGUGGCACAUAUACACCGUGGAAUACUAUGCA
rnacentral:lncRNA from 1 species